UGCAAUAGGAGAAGAGGAAGAUCCCAUUUCAGGUGAAAAGACUCAGUCAAGGAAGCCAGAGUCCGCCAGCUCCAGCGGGGCUUUUGAUGCGGGGGUGACUUGGAAGUCUCCCCUCCAUGGGGCUGCUAUAGAAGUUGAUAAGAGUUAAGAAUAACAAGGGGGGGUGCACCAGCCCAGAAGAAGUAGGGGAGAGGGUAGUAAUCCUAAGAGAACACUGUGGGGUUUUGUUUUGUUUUUAUUUUGUGUCAGGAGCAACUUGAGUUGCUUCUGGAGUGAGAGAAUUGGCCGUCUGCAAGGACGUUGCCCAGGGGGCACCAGGAUGUUUUGAUGUUUUUACCAUCCUUGUGGGAGACUUGGGCUCCUGGUGGUGGCAUAGUGUGUUAAAGCACUGAGCUGCUGAACUUGCAGACUGAAAGGUCCCAGGUUCAAAUCCCGGGAGCGGAAUGAGCGCCCGCUGUUAGCCCCAGCUCCUGCCAACCUAGCAGUUCAAAAACAUGCAAAUGUGAGUAGAUCAAUAGGUAUCACUCCGGAAGGAAGGUAACGAUGCUCCAUGUAGUCAUGCCGGCCACAUGACCUUUGAGGUGUCUACGGACAACGCUGGUUCCUCGGCUUAGAAAUGGACAUGAGCACCAACCCCCAGAGUCGGUCACGACUGGACUUAAAGUCAGGGGGAAACCUUUACCUUUAACCUGUGUGAGGCUUCUCUCAUGUCCCCGCAUGGAGCUGGAGCUGAUAGAGGGAGCUCAUCCGCGCUCUCCCCGGGUGGGAUUGGAACCUGGCAGCCUUCAGGUCAGCAACCCAACCUUCAAGUCACGAGGCCUUAAUCCACUACUCCACCUGGGGCUCACUUUAUGGGUUCAGCUGGCGCGAGUCAUAGGCGGGUGCAAUCCCCAUGGCCGGACGCUUUGUCCCCUCAGGAGGGCAAGAGUCCCUUGGAGCACUUGCCGCCGCCACCACCACCCUCCACUGCCGCAAACUGCCUCCCGCACCUCCCCUCUUCAGAAGCAGUCUCCUUGCGUGACGAAAGCGGGCCAAGUGCUGAGAGUGGGCUCUUCUCUCCCGCCCUUCGUCGCCCCCUCCCCUUUGUUUUGUCUCCCUCGCACACCGAGGAAGAGAGAGCGCCGAGAGAGACCCUAGAGAGGCAGACCCUGAAGUCCUCUCUCGCGCGCGCGCUCCGCCUGCCCUCCCCUUUAUCUCGCCGCCACAUCUGCCUGCUCUCCAGGCAGGGAGGAUGGCUCGCCCGGCGCCCCGCUCCGCCUGAGGGCUCGGCCGCUGGAAACAGGAGCGGAGGAAGAGGAGGAGGGGGAGGGGACCAUGGUGCGGAGCCCCCUCCGGCCCCCCACAACAGCCCAGCCUCUUCCCCGCCAGGCGUGAAGACAGACACAGAGAAAGAAAGACGACUCUAUCCAGUCACUCCAUUUGCUGCCCCCCUCCCUCCCUCCCUCGCCACCCCGCCGCCCCACAAGCCCUUCGCAAAGCCUGGCGUGGAAGAGCCUGCGGGGAAGGCGCGCCUCCACAGCGGACGAAGGGCAGCCCGGUUUCCGCAGCCAAGAGAGAGAGAGAGCGAGCGAGCGAGCGAGCGACCAGGUUCUUCAGGUGGUGUGUUGUGGUAGAAUAUAGAUCAGCAGGUAAGAAACUUUGUGGGCCUUGCAUGAAAUGUUAUGUCUUUCCUUUGCCUUCAUGUACUACAAAUGCAUACAAAAGGCUUGCCCUUGUAGCACAGAUAUAGGAACUGAAAUGCAUAUAAGGGCAGUUGGAAUUGAAUCUCUUCAAGGAAAAGAACCACUAAGGUGUAGUGGUCUCAGUGUAGGACUACACGUCUGGAGACCAGAAUUAACAUUGUGUUAUCAAAGGCUUUCAUGGCCAGAGUCACUGGGUUGCUGUGAGUUUUUCAGGCUGUAUAGCCAUGUUCCAUAAACAUUCUCUCCUGACGUUUCGCCCACAUCUAUGGCAGGCAUCCUCAGAGGUUGUGAAAUUGUCCACAUGCUUGUGGAUUUCAGUGGCUCCUCUGUGUAGUCUGACAUAGUGGUUGUUAAAGUGGCUCAGCAAUUCUGUGUUCUCAAAUAA
rnacentral:lncRNA from 11 species